rnacentral:rRNA from 1 species
UACGUGAGGGGGCAAGCGUUGUCCGGAAUCAUUGGGCGUAAAGCGCGUGUAGGCGGCCAGGUAAGUCCGUUCUGAAAGCCCGGGGCUCAACCCCGGGAGGCGGAUGGAUACUGCUUGGCUCGAGUCCGGAAGAGGCGAGUGGAAUUCCCGGUGUAGCGGUGAAAUGCGCAGAUAUCGGGAGGAACACCAAGGCGAAGGCAGCUCGCUGGGACGGUACUGACGCUGGAGACGCGAAAGCGUGGGGAGCAAACAGG